rnacentral:rRNA from 1 species
AACACAUGCAAGUCGAACGCGUGUAGCAAUACACGAGUGGCGCACGGGUGAGUAACGCGUGGAUAUCUGCCUUUUGGUUCGGAAUAACUCCGGGAAACUGGAGCUAAUACCGGAUGGUUCCUUCGGGAUAAAGAUUUAUCGCCAAAAGAUGAGUCCGCGUACGAUUAGCUAGUUGGUGAGGUAAUGGCUCACCAAGGCGACGAUCGUUAGCUGGUCUGAGAGGACGAUCAGCCACACUGGGACUGAGACACGGCCCAGACUCCUACGGGAGGCAGCAGUGGGGAAUAUUGGACAAUGGGGGCAACCCUGAUCCAGCCAUGCCGCGUGAGUGAUGAAGGCCUUCGGGUUGUAAAGCUCUUUUGGCGGGGACGAUGAUGACGGUACCCGCAGAAUAAGCCCCGGCUAACUUCGUGCCAGCAGCCGCGGUAAGACGAAGGGGGCUAGCGUUGUUCGGAAUUACUGGGCGUAAAGCGAGUGUAGGUGGUUGUCAUAGUCAGGUGUGAAAGCCUUGAGCUCAACUUAAGAAAUGCACUUGAUACUGGGCGACUAGAGGACCGGAGAGGAUAGUGGAAUUCCCAGUGUAGUGGUGAAAUACGUAGAGAUUGGGAAGAACACCAGUGGCGAAGGCGGCUAUCUGGACGGUUUCUGACACUAAGACUCGAAAGCGUGGGGAGCAAACAGG